rnacentral:rRNA from 1 species
GACGAACCGUGCGAACGUUGUUCGGAAUCACUGGGCUUAAAGCGCACGUAGGCGGCUUUUUAAGUCAGGGGUGAAAUCCUGGAGCUCAACUCCAGAACUGCCUUUGAUACUGGCGAUCUUGAGUCCGAUAGAGGUGGGUGGAAUUCCUAGUGUAGAGGUGAAAUUCGUAGAUAUUAGGAAGAACACCGGUGGCGAAGGCGGCCCACUGGAUCGGUACUGACGCUGAGGUGCGAAAGCGUGGGGAGCAAACAGG